GAUGAACGCUGGCGGCGUGCCUAAUACAUGCAAGUCGAGCGAACCACUUCGGUGGUGAGCGGCGAACGGGUGAGUAACACGUAGGUUAUCUGCCCAUCAGACGGGGACAACGAUUGGAAACGAUCGCUAAUACCGGAUAGGACGAAAGUUUAAAGGUGCUUCGGCACCACUGAUGGAUGAGCCUGCGGCGCAUUAGCUAGUUGGUAGGGUAAAGGCCUACCAAGGCGACGAUGCGUAGCCGACCUGAAAGGGUGAACGGCCACACUGGGACUGAGAAACGGCCCAGACUCCUACGGGAGGCAGCAGUAGGGAAUCUUCGGCAAUGGGCGAAAGCCUGACCGAGCAACGCCGCGUGAAUGAUGAAGGCCUUCGGGUUGUAAAAUUCUGUUAUAAGGGAAGAAUGGCUUUAGUAGGAAAUGGCUAGAGUGUGACGGUACCUUAUGAGAAAGCCACGGCUAACUACGUGCCAGCCGCCGCAGUAA
rnacentral:rRNA from 1 species